UGGCAAUCAGCCUACUUCCUUUCCUUGCGCUUGCGUUCUGGUCCUUCUUAACUCAGCCUCGGAGGUAGAGGGCCAGUGGGGACCGUGAACCCAAAGGUCCGUAGACUGUAUAUAUCACUCGGUAGGCAUUUCAUGUAAUGUUCGAGGAAAACAGAUGAAGGUGCAGCUUAAGCGAAAAGAAACACGGCUUAUUGCCAGUGUCUAACAACGGAAUGUGUCUUCUUCGAGACCAUCUGUAUUGUAUGGAUACACGUGAACUUAAAACAGCCCCGCCUGUGGGCAGAGCUCUCUGUGUGUGUCAACUCUUUACAGGAGCUAUCGCAUUUAAGCCUCAACUUUGUGAGCACAGUUAACUGGCAUUGAAAAAUAUUUGAUGGGACUGAAUGGUACUAAACAGAGAGAGAGAGAGAGGAUCACCAGUUGCUGUGUAACCUGAACAAAUUUGAGAAUCACUUAAUAUAUCUUCCAGGAGGGCAGGCCUAUAUCUUUCUUUGUUGACUCCAGAGCCUAGCAAGUGUUUGACACAUAAAAGAUGUUCAAUAAAUAUUUCAGUAAGUUCAACAGCUUAUAACGACUUCUGGAAUCCCGUCCCCUGGAAUGGUGACAAGCUCCUGCCACUUGCCCGCGGCGCUGGGCCCUAGGCCCGCUCAGCUGAGCGGUGCCCCACGACCCAGUGUCUCGGGAAGCAGGCAAGACCACUGAUUCUUCCGGAGCAAGGAUGGCGCUCUCGGGACGCCGCUGAACUCGGCCUCAACUGGUCCCAGGCCGCUCCAGCCCCUCUGGAGCUGGCAGCUUUGUGGGGGCCAGCACCAACCUCGGCCCAGCACGGCUCACAAAAUGGAGCUUGGUGAGCCAGAGACUAAGGCUGCUCGUGACUCGCGCAAAGAACUCGGGGCAGCUGGGGAAGAAUAUGGGGCUAGGACUGCUAAAGAAACCUCAGUGAACUCUCCGCACACUCCACACCUGGCAAACGCUCUGUUGCGGGUACUGGGGUCUAGGGAAUACAGAUGGGGGAGGAAACACAAGUGCCACCCCCUGCAGCCAGGGGGCGUUGACGUCACUGCUACUGUCAGCCAGUAGCAAGGGCGGCUGCUCCUCACAAGGCCCAAGCCCUCCGCCCCCUCCUUCUCCUGCUCCUCCUCCCCCGCCCCUUACUCCCUACCAAAUCCUGCGAAUCCGCACUCUCCCUCCUUUAUCUCCAACUCCCACUUCUCCCUAGUCUCUUAUCCCCAAUUUUGACAUUUUGCUUCCACCUCCAGCAAGGCUGUCAACAGCGCCAGCUCCGCCCCCCCACCCCCGCCGCCCCGCGUCCUACGUAACCACAACGGCUGUGUGGGGAGUUGUGGAGCUCAGGUCCUGGGCUGCUGGAGGAGAAUGUCCCCUUCCUCCACCUAGCCCUCUAAUUCAUGGCGCUCUGGGCGCGCAGACACAGAAUCCAGUGUGUGCAGGUCUGCAGCAGGAGCGAUUUUCAGCUCAGCCUUGACACCACAGCCUUAGGAUCAGCCAGAUAUGAGCUGGGAGGGAACGAGUCCCUAGCACGUCUUCGCCAGGGGUGGGCUCCCAUGAGUGAGUGGAAGCCAGGGACCCACCCCAGACCUCAACCUCUGGUCCUGCGCCCAAAUGGCAUUCCCGCCUCCGCUCUCUCCGCCACUUGGGCGGUGCACUCUAGUCCUGCCUGGUUUCUACUCCUGUGGCGGCGCGGGCCCUGGCUGUAUGACUGGAGGACAGUUGCAGACUGCCAACUUGAGCCCUCCAGGCCAGCCCACCGUGGAUUCUGAAGAUUACAGAUUUUGUGGCAGUCGCUGCUGUGCCCCAUUCUACCCCCCUCCUCUGUUCCCUUCUAAUGUAGAGAUUGGGGAGGGAAAAGAAAGCAGUGCAGAAAG